rnacentral:rRNA from 1 species
UUCUGGCUCAGAACGAACGCUGGCGGCAGGCUUAGGCAUGCAAGUCGAACGGAUGACAGAGAGCUUGCUCUCUGAAGUCAGUGGCGCACGAGUGAGUAACGCGUGGGAAACUGCCCUUCACUGGGGAAUAACGUUUGGAAACGAACGCUAAUACCGCAUACGCCCGCAAGGGGAAAGAUUUAUCGGUGAUGGAUGUGCCCGCGUUGGAUUAGCCAGUUGGUGGGGUAAUGGCCUACCAAAGCAAUGAUCCAUAGCUGGUCUGAGAGGACGAUCAGCCACGCUGGAACUGAGACACGGUCCAGACUCCUACGGGAGGCAGCAGCUAAGAAUAUUGGGCAAUGGAGGAAACUCUGACCCAGCCCAUGCCGCGUGAAUGAAGAAGGCCUUCGGGUUGUAAAGUUCUUUUAGUCAUGAAGAUGAUGACAGUAGUGACAGAAAAAGCACCGGCUAACUUCGUGCCAGCCGCGGC